ACCUACGCCUUAAGUUGAAUUUCAAAGUUAACCGCGCAGCGUUGCCAACACACAUUUUGACGCGUUGCCAACUAUGAAGCGUGGCGAAACUUGACUUUUGUUUGACACAAUAAAAGAUUGCAUAAUAGAGACGAAGAGAAAAAGACUGAGAAUGGUGUGAAAUUAUGCUGAAUGCUCGCAAUUUCACGCAUUGAAAUCCCAUUUGCGUCGACAGCUUAUUAUGUUAGUCGUGUCGUCCCGCUCUAACGCACACCACCUACGCCUUAAGUUGAAUUUCAAAGUUAACCGCGCAGCGUUGCCAACACACAUUUUGACGCGUUGCCAACUAUGAAGCGUGGCGAAACUUGACUUUUGUUUGACACAAUAAAAGAUUGCAUAAUAGAGACGAAGAGAAAAGGACUGAGAAUGGUGUGAAAUUAUGCUAAAUGAAGUGUUAAUUCGACAGUCAAAUUCGACUGGAAAGAACGAGGGUUGCCUCAGCACUUCAGAGUUUGUCAAAGAAUCCAUUUACUACUCAAUCAAAGCGAUUGUUAUUAUGCUGCAAUUACCGUUUAUGAGUGUU